rnacentral:tRNA from 1 species
GGUUAGCUCAGUUGGUAGAGCGCUCCACUUGUAAUGGAGAGGUCCCGGGUUCAAUACCCGGACCAGGCG